rnacentral:lncRNA from 1 species
UGUAACAUAAUGUAGAAUGGCAUAACACUUGAAAACAGUCUGUAACUGUAACACAAUGUAGAAUGGCAUAUUACUUGAAACCAGUCUGUAACUGUAACAAUGUAGAAUAGCAUAACACUUGAAAACAGUCUGUAACUGUAACACAAUGUAGAAUGGCAUAACACUUGAAAACAGUCUGUAACUGUUACAAUGUAUAAUGGCAUAACACUUGAAAACAGUCUGUAACUGUAACAAUAUAGAAUGGCAUAACACUUGAAAACAAUCCAAGUGAUUGUCAUGACAGAACUGGAGGGAAGUGUUCAGAUGCUUAAUGUUUCAUCAGGACCAUAAAUUCACUUAGUACGAACCCACAGGGUAUAGUGAAUAUAGAGAAGAGCCUAGGGCCUGAAAAAAGAUACUGUUAUGACCUAGAGGCAUGAGAAUGACAAUGAGUGUGGCGGUGUGUGUUGGCCUACAGAUGAGAUGGGGCUGUGUUUGUUGGCCUACUGAUGAGGAGAUGGGGCGGUGUGUGUUGGCCUACUGAUGAGGUGGAGCUGUGUGUGUGUUGGCCUACUGAUGAGGAGAUGGGGCGGUGUGUGUUGGCCUACAGAUGAGGAGGUGGAGCUGUGUGUGUUGGCCUACAGAUGAGGAGGUGGAGCUGUGUGUGUUGGCCUACAGAUGAGGAGGUGGAGCUGUGUGUGUUGGCCUACAGAUGAGGAGGUGUGUGUUGGCCUACUGAUGAGGAGAUGGGGCUGUGUGUGUUGGCCUACAGAUGAGGAGGUGGAGCUGUGUGUGUUGGCCUACAGAUGAGAUGGGGUUGUGUUUGUUGGCCUACUGAUGAGGAGGUGGGGCGGUGUGUGUUGGCCUACUGAUGAGGAGAUGGGGCGGUGUGUUGGCCUACAGAUGAGAUGGGGCGGUGUGUGUUGGCCUACUGAUGAGGAGGUGUGUGUUGGCCUACUGAUGAGGAGGUGGAGCUGUGUGUGUUGGCCUACUGAUGAGGAGGUGGAGCUGUGUGUGUUGGCCUACUGAUGAGGAGGUGGAGCUGUGUGUGUUGGCCUACAGAUGAGAUGGGGCUGUGUUUGUUGGCCUACUGAUGAGGAGGUGGAGCUGUGUGUGUUGGCCUACUGAUGAGGAGAUGGGGCUGUGUGUGUUGGCCUACAGAUGAGGAAGUGUGUGUUCGACUACUGAUCAGGAGGUGGGGCUGUGUGUGUUGGCCUACAGAUGAGGUGUGCGUUGGCCUACAGAUGAGGAGGUGGAUCAGUGUGUGUGUUGGCCUACUGAUGAGGAGGUGUGUGUUGGCCUACAGAUGAGGAGGUGGAUCAGUGUGUGUUGGCCUACUGAUGAGGAGGUGUGUGUUGGCCUACAGAUGAGGAGGUGUGUGUUGGCCUACUGAUGAGGAGGUGUGUGUUGGCCUACAGAUGAGGAGGUGGAUCAGUGUGUGUUGGCCUACAGAUGAGGAGGUGUGUGUUGGCCUACAGAUGAGGAGGUGUUGCUGUGUGUGCAGUAAUAAAUUAUGACAAGGGGCAGGCAG